rnacentral:tRNA from 8 species
GCCAAUGUAGCUCAGUCGGCAGAGCAACUCCAUGGUAAGGAGUAGGUCGCCGGUUCAAUUCCGGCCAUUGGCUCAA